GUAUAAGCAAUUAUACCGUGAAACUGCGAAUGGCUCAUUAAAUCAGUUAUCGUUUAUUUGAUAGUACCUUACUACUUGGAUAACCGUGGUAAUUCUAGAGCUAAUACAUGCUAAAAACCCCAACUUCGGGAGGGGUGUAUUUAUUAGAUAAAAAACCAAUGCCCUUCGGGGCUCUUUGGUGAUUCAUGAUAACUUAACGGAUCGCAUGGCCUUGCGCCGGCGACGGUUCAUUCAAAUUUCUGCCCUAUCAACUUUCGAUGGUAAGGUAUUGGCUUACCAUGGUUUCAACGGGUAACGGGGAAUUAGGGUUCGAUUCCGGAGAGGGAGCCUGAGAAACGGCUACCACAUCCAAGGAAGGCAGCAGGCGCGCAAAUUACCCAAUCCCGACACGGGGAGGUAGUGACAAUAAAUACUGAUACAGGGCUCUUUUGGGUCUUGUAAUCGGAAUGAGUACAAUUUAAACCCCUUAACGAGGAACAAUUGGAGGGCAAGUCUGGCCC
rnacentral:rRNA from 1 species